UUUAGUACUGUAGGGAACUUU
rnacentral:piRNA from 1 species